rnacentral:rRNA from 1 species
UAGAUGCGAGAGUAGAGCAUAUCAAUAAGCGGAGGAAAAGAAACUAACAAGGAUUCCCUUAGUAACGGCGAGUGAAGCGGGAAGAGCUCAAAUUUGAAAUCUUCAAGGUUUUACCUUGACGAAUUGUAGUUUAAAGAAGUGUUUUCUGUUGGAGUUUUGGUAAAAGUUCUUUGGAAUAGGACAUCAUAGAGGGUGAGAAUCCCGUAUUUGACCUAUUCUUUCCUAACUUUGUGAUACACUUUCAAAGAGUCGGAUUGUUUGGGAAUGCAGUCCAAAAUGGGUGGUAAAUUUCAUCUAAAGCUAAAUACUGGCGAGAGACCGAUAGCGAACAAGUACCGUGAGGGAAAGAUGAAAAGAACUUUGAAAAGAGAGUUAAACAGUACGUGAAAUUGUCAAAAGGGAAGCGUUUGACACCAGUGUUGUUUUCUCGAAAAUCAAUUAAAAAUGGCGGGAUUUUGUGUUGUAUUGACUUUAUCAGCUUUCUGCACUUUUUUCCUGUCUUUUUUAAUGCACUUUUCGUUUAACAAGUCAACAUCAAUUUCUUUUGUUGUAAAAGAGUCAUUGGAAGGUGGCUUUCUUUUCGGAGAAAGUGUUUAUAGCCUUGUGCCUCUGCAAUCGGAGAGAUUGAGGUCUGCAGCGUAGAUCCUUCGGGGUUAGAUACGUUUGUGCUAAGUUAUAGCUUUUCAUAGACAACUUGUUGACUAUGUUUAGUCUUGUAGCUUACUCGCUUACGCUAUUUUACCUACGCUUAGGAUGUUGACACACGCGCGUGCUCG